UUCCGGUUGAUCCUGCCGGACCUGACUGCUAUCGGAUUGAUACUAAGCCAUGCGAGUCAUUGUAGCAAUACAAGGCAGACGGCUCAGUAACGCGUAGUCAACCUACCCUAUGGACGGGGAUAACCUCGGGAAACUGAGAAUAAUACCAGAUAGAACAUUAUGCCUGGAAUGGUUUAUGUUUCAAAUAAUUUAUUGCCGUAGGAUGGGACUGCGGCCUAUCAGUUUGUUGGUGAGGUAAUGGCCCACCAAGACUAUUACAGGUACGGGCUCUGAGAGGAGUAGCCCGGAGAUGGGUACUGAGACACGGACCCAGGCCCUAUGGGGCGCAGCAGGCGAGAAAACUUUGCAAUGUGCGAAAGCACGACAAGGUCAAUCCGAGUGAUUUCUGCUAAAGGAAUCUUUUGUCAGUCCUAGAAACACUGUUGAAUAAGGGGUGGGCAAGUUCUGGUGUCAGCCGCCGCGGUAAAACCAGCACCUCAAGUGGUCAGGAUGAUUAUUGGGCCUAAAGCAUCCGCAGCCUGCUUUGUCAGUUUUCGGUUAAAUCCAUACGCUCAACGUAUGGGCUGCCGGAAAUACUGCAAAGCUAGGGAGUGGGAGAGGUAGACGGUACUCGGUAGGAAGGGGUAAAAUCCUUUGAUCUAUCGAUGACCACCUGUGGCGAAGGCGGUCUACCAGAACACGUCCGACGGUGAGGGAUGAAAGCUGGGGGAGCAAACCGGAUUAGAUACCCGGGUAGUCCCAGCUGUAAACUAUGCAAACUCAGUGAUGCAUUGGCUUGAUGCCAAUGCAGUGUUGCAGGAAGCCGUUAAGUUUGCCGCCUGGAAGUACGUACGCAAGUAUGAAACUUAAAGGAAUUGCGGGGGAGCACACAGGGUGAAGCUGCGGUCAAUUGGAAUCAACGCGGU
rnacentral:rRNA from 1 species